rnacentral:lncRNA from 1 species
CUCUUUCCAGCCGCCCUGUGGGGAAGGUGUCUUGCUUCCCCUUCACCUUCCACCAUCAGUGUAAGUUUCCUGAGGAUUCCCCAGCCGUGCUGAACUAGAUGUGGUCUCACUGUGUUGCCUAGGCUAGUCUCAAACUCCUGGCCUCAAACUAUCAUCCCACCUUAGCCUCCCAAAGUGCCGGGAUCACAACAGAUUUGUCCCAUAGCAUAAGAUUCACACUCAAUACUAUCAUCCUUUGGGUCUCUAAGACACCAACCUAAAA